rnacentral:rRNA from 1 species
GCUCCUGAUGUUAGCGGCGGACGGGUGAGUAACACGUGGGUAACCUGCCUGUAAGACUGGGAUAACUCCGGGAAACCGGGGCUAAUACCGGAUGGUUGUUUGAACCGCAUGGUUCAAACAUAAAAGGUGGCUUCGGCUACCACUUACAGAUGGACCCGCGGCGCAUUAGCUAGUUGGUGAGGUAACGGCUCACCAAGGCAACGAUGCGUAGCCGACCUGAGAGGGUGAUCGGCCACACUGGGACUGAGACACGGCCCAGACUCCUACGGGAGGCAGCAGUAGGGAAUCUUCCGCAAUGGACGAAAGUCUGACGGAGCAACGCCGCGUGAGUGAUGAAGGUUUUCGGAUCGUAAAGCUCUGUUGUUAGGGAAGAACAAGUACCGUUCGAAUAGGGCGGUACCUUGACGGUACCUAACCAGAAAGCCACGGCUAACUACGUG